UGUAAAUAUACUUGUAGUACAUAGCUUUUCAUCUGCGUCUUCUUACGUAGCAUAUCUGGUGGAGGUGGACGUUCCCUGUAUGUACCUCGUCACGGAGCUUCGCAGUGAACGAAAAUAUCCUGGCUGAACUCCUGGGCUAAAGCUGCAAGAAAACAGCUUGACGGGGCCCAGGAGACCAUACAUACAUGGCGGCAUGUGACAGGCUUCAACUGAGCUGGAUACUGACGCCAGCGACGUAGGUGUUGGCGCUGUGCUUGUUCAGAUCUCCGGGGCUCGCCUGCGUGUCAUCGCCUGUGCCAGUCGGACACUUACAAGACCGGAGAGAGACUACACCGAGUGUUUCGAGCGAACUCGAGUGUCUAGCAAUCGUCUAUAGCAGUCCUCUAGCAGUGGUAUCCCACCUGCGGCCAGUUAUUUUUCCAUCCAGUUUUACUUCCACAAUUUAUCAUUUCUUUAAUUCCG